rnacentral:rRNA from 1 species
AUGAAGAGCAACCGAGCCCCGGGCCCGGAUAACAUACCUGCGGAGUUCUAUAAACAUUGCUGGGAGUUUGUGAAAAAAGAUAUUAUGCGUUUGUUUGAUGCCUUUCACAACAACACGUUAGAUGUGGCUCGGCUGAAUUAUGGGGUGAUUACCCUUAUCCCUAAGAUGAAUGGAAAAAAAAUCCAGCAAUAUAGGCCUAUUUGUCUGCUAUGAUGUCCUUACAAGCUGAUUACCAAAGUGUUGGACAAUAGAGCUUCCAUGUUUGCAGAUAUACUCAUCAGCAAACAUCAAAAUGCCUUCAUAAAACAUAGUAAUAUUAUGGAUGGCAUCUUAACCCUUCAUGAAAUUCUUCAUCACACACAAAGGAAAAAGAAAAUUGGUGUGGUGUUGAAACUCGAUUUCAAAAAAGCAUAUGAUAAGAUCAAUUGGGAUUUUCUUCUUAAAUGCCACAACAACAGGGGUUUUGGCCCGGUGUGGUGUGGAUGGAUCCAGAAUAUCCUUAGGAAUGGGACCAUUAACAUCAAACUGAAUAAUAAAAGUCCUUAUUUCCAAAGCUGCAAGGGAGUGCGACAAGGGGACCCGCACUCACCUUUCUUAUUCAAUAUGGCUGUGGAAGCCUUAUCCAAAAUGAUCCUGAAU